rnacentral:rRNA from 1 species
GUACACAAAAAUGCACAUGCUGUGAGCUCGAUGAGUAGGGCGGGACACGUGGUAUCCUGUCUGAAUAUGGGGGGACCAUCCUCCAAGGCUAAAUACUCCUGACUGACCGAUAGUGAACCAGUACCGUGAGGGAAAGGCGAAAAGAACCCCGGCGAGGGGAGUGAAAAAGAACCUGAAACCGUGUACGUACAAGCAGUGGGAGCCUCUUAAUGGGGUGACUGCGUACCUUUUGUAUAAUGGGUCAGCGACUUAUAUUCUGUAGCAAGGUUAACCGAAUAGGGGAGCCGAAGGGAAACCGAGUCUUAACUGGGCGUUAAGUUGCAGGGUAUAGACCCGAAACCCGGUGAUCUAGCCAUGGGCAGGUUGAAGGUUGGGUAACACUAACUGGAGGACCGAACCGACUAAUGUUGAAAAAUUAGCGGAUGACUUGUGGCUGGGGGUGAAAGGCCAAUCAAACCGGGAGAUAGCUGGUUCUCCCCGAAAGCUAUUUAGGUAGCGCCUCGUGAAUUCAUCUCCGGGGGUAGAGCACUGUUUCGGCAAGGGGGUCAUCCCGACUUACCAACCCGAUGCAAACUGCGAAUACCGGAGAAUGUUAUCACGGGAGACACACGGCGGGUGCUAACGUCCGUCGUGAAGAGGGAAACAACCCAGACCGCCAGCUAAGGUCCCAAAGUCAUGGUUAAGUGGGAAACGAUGUGGGAAGGCCCAGACAGCCAGGAUGUUGGCUUAGAAGCAGCCAUCAUUUAAAGAAAGCGUAAUAGCUCACUGGUCGAGUCGGCCUGCGCGGAAGAUGUAACGGGGCUAAACCAUGCACCGAAGCUGCGGCAGCGACGCUUAUGCGUUGUUGGGUAGGGGAGCGUUCUGUAAGCCUGUGAAGGUGGCCUGUGAGGGUUGCUGGAGGUAUCAGAAGUGCGAAUGCUGACAUAAGUAACGAUAAAGCGGGUGAAAAGCCCGCUCGCCGGAAGACCAAGGGUUCCUGUCCAACGUUAAUCGGGGCAGGGUGAGUCGACCCCUAAGGCGAGGCCGAAAGGCGUAGUCGAUGGGAAACAGGUUAAUAUUCCUGUACUUGGUGUUACUGCGAAGGGGGGACGGAGAAGGCUAUGUUGGCCGGGCGACGGUUGUCCCGGUUUAAGCGUGUAGGCUGGUUUUCCAGGCAAAUCCGGAAAAUCAAGGCUGAGGCGUGAUGACGAGGCACUACGGUGCUGAAGCGACAAAUGCCCUGCUUCCAGGAAAAGCCUCUAAGCAUCAGGUAACAUCAAAUCGUACCCCAAACCGACACAGGUGGUCAGGUAGAGAAUACCAAGGCGCUUGAGAGAACUCGGGUGAAGGAACUAGGCAAAAUGGUGCCGUAACUUCGGGAGAAGGCACGCUGAUAUGUAGGUGAAGCGACUUGCUCGUGGAGCUGAAAUCAGUCGAAGAUACCAGCUGGCUGCAACUGUUUAUUAAAAACACAGCACUGUGCAAACACGAAAGUGGACGUAUACGGUGUGACGCCUGCCCGGUGCCGGAAGGUUAAUUGAUGGGGUUAGCGGCAACGCGAAGCUCUUGAUCGAAGCCCCGGUAAACGGCGGCCGUAACUAUAACGGUCCUAAGGUAGCGAAAUUCCUUGUCGGGUAAGUUCCGACCUGCACGAAUGGCGUAAUGAUGGCCAGGCUGUCUCCACCCGAGACUCAGUGAAAUUGAACUCGCUGUGAAGAUGCAGUGUACCCGCGGCAAGACGGAAAGACCCCGUGAACCUUUACUAUAGCUUGACACUGAACAUUGAGCCUUGAUGUGUAGGAUAGGUGGGAGGCUUUGAAGUGUGGACGCCAGUCUGCAUGGAGCCGACCUUGAAAUACCACCCUUUAAUGUUUGAUGUUCUAACGUUGGCCCGUAAUCCGGGUUGCGGACAGUGUCUGGUGGGUAGUUUGACUGGGGCGGUCUCCUCCUAAAGAGUAACGGAGGAGCACGAAGGUUGGCUAAUCCUGGUCGGACAUCAGGAGGUUAGUGCAAUGGCAUAAGCCAGCUUGACUGCGAGCGUGACGGCGCGAGCAGGUGCGAAAGCAGGUCAUAGUGAUCCGGUGGUUCUGAAUGGAAGGGCCAUCGCUCAACGGAUAAAAGGUACUCCGGGGAUAACAGGCUGAUACCGCCCAAGAGUUCAUAUCGACGGCGGUGUUUGGCACCUCGAUGUCGGCUCAUCACAUCCUGGGGCUGAAGUAGGUCCCAAGGGUAUGGCUGUUCGCCAUUUAAAGUGGUACGCGAGCUGGGUUUAGAACGUCGUGAGACAGUUCGGUCCCUAUCUGCCGUGGGCGCUGGAGAACUGAGGGGGGCUGCUCCUAGUACGAGAGGACCGGAGUGGACGCAUCACUGGUGUUCGGGUUGUCAUGCCAAUGGCACUGCCCGGUAGCUAAAUGCGGAAGAGAUAAGUGCUGAAAGCAUCUAAGCACGAAACUUGCCCCGAGAUGAGUUCUCCCUGAGACUUAGAGUCUCCUGAAGGAACGUUGAAGACGACGACGUUGAUAGGCCGGGUGUGUAAGCGCAGCGAUGCGUUGAGCUAACCGGUACUAAUGAACCGUGAGGCUUAACCUU